rnacentral:tRNA from 1 species
AGAAAUUUAGUUAAAAUAAUAUUAAUUUGUCAAAUUAAAGUAGAUUUUAUU